rnacentral:rRNA from 1 species
CCUACGGGAGGCAGCAGUGAGGAAUAUUGGUCAAUGAGCGGGAGCCUGAACCAGCCAAGUCGCGUGAAGGAAGAAGGUCCUUAGUAUUUUAAACUUCUUUUUUCGGGGAACAAAGUCGGAAACGCGUCUCCUGAUGAGUGUACCCUACGAAAAAGCAUCGGCUAACUCCGUGCCAGCAGCCGCGGUAAUACGGAGGAUGCGAGCGUUAUCCGGAUUUAUUGGGUUUAAGGGGUGCGCAGGCGGGAGAUCAAGUCAGCGGUAAAAUGUCGGGGCUCAACCCCGGCCGGCCGUUGAAACUGGUGGUCUAGAGUGAGAGAGAGGUAUGCGGAAUUCGUGGUGUAGCGGUGAAAUGCAUAGAUAUCACGAAGAACGCCGAUGGCGAAGGCAGCAUACCGGCUCCAUACUGACGCUGAGGCACGAAAGCGUGGGGAUCGAACAGGAUUAGAUACCCGUGUAGUC